CAGGCUUCUUUUAUCAACACAGCCACAGGAGAGCGGCUUCAUUCUCUCCCAUCCUCCUCUGAGCGGCUCUGGGAGCGCUCCUUCUCCCAGGAGGGAUUAACCACACAGCACCUGUCAGCGUACUGGACCAUGUAGGACUGGAGAGGGCCUGAGACCUACACAACGUCAGGCGACACAUGAUGCUGCCAGGGGUGGUCUGCGGGUGGUGGAGUCCUGCGAGGGAGAUUACCAGCUACCACAGGUCAGGUGUUCCUUCUUAACUCCAAAGCCAGUGUUUCAGAGCCAGCGCCAAUGCAAGGCGGAGGAGUGUCGGACUGGGAGACUCCUGCAGCCCGGGGACUCCCUUUAUGGCUGUUUUUCUUGAUCCGUAUUACUUACCUUGAAAAUAGCCGACCCUCCACCGGGGCCUCAUUGACAUUCCAGUCAGAGUGUCACAGUUAUUGUUUUACCACUCAGCAGGAUGUCAUACGUUUGCUGUCCUCUGACAGCAAAGGCGUUGGGUGUCAAGGUUUGAGUGUUAAAGGUCAGGGAGUUCGUACUCCCACAGCAGAAUGAAACUCCACCAUUCCGGGACUGACCCAACACUAGAGGUCCUCCUAAAGGCCGUAGGUCAUCUUCUGGGUCAGAGAGCAACCAGCGGUGCAGAAGACACCUAACUACUCUAUUUCUAGACAGAACCCCACAAUCUUUGUUUAUCCUCGAGUGGAUUUUUGGACGGUUCUACGCCGCCUAAUGUUUACCCAGGAAUGAGAGCCGGGUCAGAACGUCCUGUAGAGGUCGUGUUCAAUGUCCUCUGUUGUUCUUGGAGACUCCCCAGAAACCGGCUGGAGUUAUAUCUGUCUUUGGUCAUCCAACUGCAAGGGGAAGUAUCUAGGCCAUGCUUACCAUGCAAAAUUGUGUCGUUAUGGUACCUUGCCAAGAAAGCUGAGACACCUUUUAUAGAUAGCGUCUGAUAUAUUUGAUACAAACGAUGAAAGACUUUUAUAGAACUAGGCUAUGAUACUGUUAGAACGUGAGCUUCAUUGACCCUGACGGUUAUCAUGAUGUUUUAGGGUACUCCUUAUUCAUGAGUUGUUCUCUUAUGAGCCACGUCACCUUUCUAUGCUCUCUUACCUCACCUCACACUAGGUCAAUCAGAGCAGGAACCAUGUCAGUGAUUACAGCUUGGGAGAGGCUCUAAAAAGAAGUUUGACUUCCUGUAUGGAUUCCAUUUUGUUUUGCCAUACAGUCAAAUGCAAGAACAAUAGUGAGCUAAUGUGUCAACAUAGAGAGCAACCAAACCACUACCGAGGGUGAAAGAACACAUUCCUACAUUCUUAGAACCAUUGGUAAGUGUUCUUCUUAAAAGGUACACUCCCUCCUGCUAAAUGCUGUCAGAUGGACACAAUCCCUCCCCGGAGGAGAGACUGAAGCCAUCCGCUUGCCUCUCAUAUGCUUUUGUUUCUUCAGGACUCUUUGGAGACAUUCCUCCUGGUCGCUUUGACACAGAAAGAAAGCAAACAGGGACGGAGAGAGAAGAGAGGGAUUUUUUUUCUUCUUCUUUUAUUCCCCAGCUUGCAGGCGGCGGGUGUGAGAGCAGAGGGAGGUGUAGGUAGGCUGUCUGUGGGAGGGUUAGGUUUAUGUUGGCAGCCAAAGACAAAGAAUGCAGACAGAGAAGGUAGGGGGUAGCCUGAUGCCAGGUCACUGACACGACAAAUCAAAACUAAAGGGACUUAGGCUUUGGCCUUAUAUUUCUUGUUGGAUAAACAUCUCCGGGGUGAGAAUUGCCCAGACCCUCUCAUACAUCGUGGACAAACCCUUACCUCCCACCUUCCUUCAAGCUAUAACAGAUAAUGUUGACUCACAAUCCCCCACUGCUCUGAGGGGGUAUACAAUUCGUCUGCAAGGUAGCGUCCUUGAGCUAUGACCAAAUGUGUUAUGCUUGGAGAGGCCUGUGUUUAGCUGGAUUCGCUUCAGAAUGUGGGCUCCAGCUACGGUUCUACCGAUGUGUUCUUUUUUUCUCUUUCCCCUCGUCACAGGAGACACCUCCACCCUAAGCCAGGGAGGUUUCUAAUGUAGUCAUGCCCAGCAAGUGUGGUAGAAUGGCGUGUUUGAUUUGUAAAGAGGCACCAGCCAGGCUAGAGCAGGCGGCGGUGAUAUGAGACGUCUUCUGUGCUAUCGUAUGCGUGGGCAGGGACUCUGUCUGUAUCUGGUGCCAGCCUCUGUUUCUGACUAAUACACAUUAGGGGGAGAUUGCACAGGAGGAAAUCCCGAGGAAGGCUAGUUCAAAACAUUUCAGAGUGUAACAGGCAACAGUGAAACACUUCGAUAAACUUCCUAGUACAGCGGAUCACAGAGAGGGGAGGAGAGGAGGCCAAAGUUCAGCCGCUGGAGUGAGAGGGAAGAAACAGUGGUUGUGAAAGCUUGUCACGUUAGGGUGGAACCCUGACAGAAGGGCCUGGUUGUGAAAGUCCACCUCAGGGAGGCAGGGCACAUCGUCUACAAGCAGUCGGAAAGGGAAACCAUUAGUGUUGUUUUCUUUAGCUGUAGAUUAAAGCCAGGCAAGGAGCACCGAGUCAUCAUAAGUUCCUGCCUUCAUAGGUGUUUGUAUUGAACCUCGUCUCAGCCACUUCCUUUAAUCUUCAAACGAAGAUGGGGAAAAAGACAAGUAUUUUGUCGGACAUUCCUCCCAGCUUGAAGUGUACAGUAGGUUCUGAGUGGGUGAAAACACAGAGAAUCUGAAAAACGACAGACAAACCCAGAGGAGAUAAACACAGCAGGGACAUUUUGCACACUACUCGGUUGAGGCAUGGCCUGUGCUAGAACUACUGAGACUCAAACAGGGUCAAGUUAUUUCCGCUUAAAACAAUAAGGAAAUCAAACUCAACGACUACCGGUAUUAUGGAGAUGGAUGUGUGACUUUAUAACCUCAAAGUUGCUACUCUGCCUCAAGUUGGGAAAGUGAGUUUCAUUAGUUCCUUAAAGCAAGACGAAGCAACAAGACUGUCUGUUGGUUAAUCUAUCGAGGAUACUCAAAUGGCAUAUUUUAUCACUGAAGCGAAAGAGUAAACAAACCAACAGGAUGUUGUUUAUGCCACCCUGCCUCCACUUCAAAGAGUUCUUUGUGGGACGUGUUCUAAAGAGAGAGAACGCUAACAACAUACCAGAAGUCCAUAAUUAGAUCUACAUACCGUUCUGGAGAGGAAAAAUGUCAUUGUUAUGUGUUCAGGAGAAA